GAAGGUACAGCUCAGUGAGAGAGUUUGUGCUUAGUAUGCACGAGGUCCUGGGUUCAAUCCCCAGUGCCUCCA
rnacentral:tRNA from 1 species